GAGUUUGAUCCUGGCUCAGAACGAACGCUGGCGGCAGGCUUAACACAUGCAAGUCGAACGCCCCGCAAGGGGAGUGGCAGACGGGUGAGUAACGCGUGGGAACGUGCCCAAAGCUACGGAACAACUCCGGGAAACUGGAGCUAAUACCGUAUGUGCCCGAGAGGGGAAAGAUUUAUCGGCUUUGGAUCGGCCCGCGUCAGAUUAGCUAGUUGGUGGGGUAAUGGCCUACCAAGGCGACGAUCUGUAGCUGUUCUGAGAGGAAGAUCAGCCACACUGGGACUGAGACACGGCCCAGACUCCUACGGGAGGCAGCAGUGGGGAAUCUUGGACAAUGGGCGCAAGCCUGAUCCAGCCAUGCCGCGUGGAUGAUGAAGGCCUUAGGGUUGUAAAAUCCUUUCGCCGAGGACGAUAAUGACGGUACUCGGAGAAGAAGCUCCGGCUAACUUCGUGCCAGCCGCCGCAGU
rnacentral:rRNA from 1 species